rnacentral:rRNA from 1 species
GUUAUUUAGUUUGAUCCCGUUUAUGUACCCAACAAUAUUAAAUGUUGUUAAGCAUGGCAAGAGGGUGAAGCAAAUGAAAACUACCUAUCUAGUCAAGGUUAAAUGAGGCCGGAAGCAACGAACAACAAUUCCGGUAAAUCCCCAUAGCAUAUUUUAGAUUUGGUACUGUUCUGCCCUAAACAAUAUUUUAGAGUUGUUAAACAUGCAAGAUGAGUGCACCA